rnacentral:rRNA from 1 species
UACGAAGGGGCUAGCGUUGUUCGGAUUUACUGGGCGUAAAGCGCACGUAGGCGGAUCGAUCAGUCAGGGUGAAUCCAGGCUCACCCUGGAACUGCCUUGAUACUGUCGAUCUGGAGUAUGGAAGAGGUAAGUGGAAUUGCGGAGUGUAGAGGUGAAAUUCGUAGAUAUUCGCAGGAACACCAGUGGCGAAGGCGGCUUACUGGUCCAUAACUGACGCUGAGUG